rnacentral:rRNA from 1 species
GACGAACGCUGGCGGCGUGCUUAACACAUGCAAGUCGAACGGACAGGCCCUGCUUUUGUGGGGUGCUCGAGUGGCGAACGGGUGAGUAACACGUGAGUAACCUGCCCUUGACUUUGGGAUAACUUCAGGAAACUGGGGCUAAUACCGGAUAGGAGCUCCUGCUGCAUGGUGGGGGUUGGAAAGUUUCGGCGGUUGGGGAUGGACUCGCGGCUUAUCAGCUUGUUGGUGGGGUAGUGGCUUUCCAAGGCUUUGACGGGUAGCCGGCCUGAGAGGGUGACCGGCCACAUUGGGACUGAGAUACGGCCCAGACUCCUACGGGAGGCAGCAGUGGGGAAUAUUGCACAAUGGGCGGAAGCCUGAUGCAGCAACGCCGCGUGCGGGAUGACGGCCUUCGGGUUGUAAACCGCUUUCGCCUGUGACGAAGCGUGAGUGACGGUAAUGGGUAAAGAAGCACCGGCUAACUACGUG